UUCCUAUUCAGUAUUGUCUGGUAUUGUUUGUGUAUUGUGUGGUUGUCUCUCUGUUGAACCUGCCUGUGGAUUACCUUACCUGUGGAUUUAUUUAAGAUGGGGACCCCUAUACCUGUUUUCCAUGUGCAGAGAAUGAAUGGUCUGAUGAAGGCAGCACAACAUGAUGGUUUCUUCGUUUCCUGUGUCUCCUGUUUUCUUACAUGGGAAGAGAUCUGCCGAAAAAUUACAAUGAAGCCAAGUCAAUAACCUUCAGUCUAAUUUUGUACUAUCUGACCUGGAUUGUAUAUUACACAGCAUACCUCUCUUUCAAAAGCAAAUACAUCACUCUUUUAAAUGCAAUUGCUCAAAUAUCCAGUAUAAAUGGAAUUCUCUUUAGCUAUUUCAUACCAAAAUCUUACAUCAUAAUAUUCCAACCACAAAAAAAAAAACACUCCUGCAUACUUUCAAUCAUCUAUUCUGAAAUACACCCAAACCAUUAGUAGGGCUUAGACAUUAGUCUUUGUGUAUCCACCUUAUAUUUACCGUAAGAGCAGUGCUGCCAUUUGUAACCUGAAUGUGCAAGGCUUCCGGUCUCAUCCGCGUCCAGUUAUUUUAGCUGUACAAAAACAGUCCUUUAUGCUGAUGGAUAUUGCUGGUAUUUGUUAUCAUAUUAUCUGAAUCCGUUAUCGUAAUCAAACACGAUUUGUAGCACAAAUAGUUUUACCAUCUACUGCACUUUGUUAUUCUUCUAGUUAUUUACCUAUAGAGACUAACGAAUGGGAAGUCUAGCACAUUCACAGAAAUUAGCUUACUUUCGAGUUGCAAAAUAAGAUGGAUAGUUUGUGAACUCUUAAACUCUGUUAGUGUUAGUGGCUUAGAUCCUUCACUUUUAUGUUACCACAGUGUAAAAGAAACGCAUAGGCAAAGUAGAGAAUCUAUUCUGGGGUUCAAUCUGCAUUAAGAUACUAUGUGAUUUUUGAGAAUAAAAUGAGUAAUUGACAUAUAAAAAGCUUUUGUUUACAUGCUUGCAUCAACACUAAUGUAACAAUGUAAUGUAAACACAAUUUUUUUUCUCUUCUUUUUUUUACUUGUAAUAAA